rnacentral:tRNA from 1 species
GCCUGGGUGGCUCAGUGGGUGAAGCAUCUGACUCCUGGUUUUGGCUCAGGCCAUGAUCUCACAGCUUCAUGGGUUCAAGCCCCAUGUCGGGCU